rnacentral:rRNA from 1 species
UUGAACGCUGGCGGCAGGCCUAACACAUGCAAGUCGAGCGGUAGCACAGAGAGCUUGCUCUCGGGUGACGAGCGGCGGACGGGUGAGUAAUGUCUGGGAAACUGCCUGAUGGAGGGGGAUAACUACUGGAAACGGUAGCUAAUACCGCAUAACGUCGCAAGACCAAAGUGGGGGACCUUCGGGCCUCAUGCCAUCAGAUGUGCCCAGAUGGGAUUAGCUAGUAGGUGGGGUAACGGCUCACCUAGGCGACGAUCCCUAGCUGGUCUGAGAGGAUGACCAGCCACACUGGAACUGAGACACGGUCCAGACUCCUACGGGAGGCAGCAGUGGGGAAUAUUGCACAAUGGGCGCAAGCCUGAUGCAGCCAUGCCGCGUGUGUGAAGAAGGCCUUCGGGUUGUAAAGCACUUUCAGCGGGGAGGAAGGCGUUAAGGUUAAUAACCUUGGCGAUUGACGUUACCCGCAGAAGAAGCACCGGCUAACUCCGUGCCAGCAGCCGCGGUAAUACGGAGGGUGCAAGCGUUAAUCGGAAUUACUGGGCGUAAAGCGCACGCAGGCGGUCUGUCAAGUCGGAUGUGAAAUCCCCGGGCUCAACCUGGGAACUGCAUUCGAAACUGGCAGGCUAGAGUCUUGUAGAGGGGGGUAGAAUUCCAGGUGUAGCGGUGAAAUGCGUAGAGAUCUGGAGGAAUACCGGUGGCGAAGGCGGCCCCCUGGACAAAGACUGACGCUCAGGUGCGAAAGCGUGGGGAGCAAACAGGAUUAGAUACCCUGGUAGUCCACGCCGUAAACGAUGUCGAUUUGGAGGUUGUGCCCUUGAGGCGUGGCUUCCGGAGCUAACGCGUUAAAUCGACCGCCUGGGGAGUACGGCCGCAAGGUUAAAACUCAAAUGAAUUGACGGGGGCCCGCACAAGCGGUGGAGCAUGUGGUUUAAUUCGAUGCAACGCGAAGAACUUUACCUGGUCUUGACAUCCACAGAACUUUCCAGAGAUGGAUUGGUGCCUUCGGGAACUGUGAGACAGGUGCUGCAUGGCUGUCGUCAGCUCGUGUUGUGAAAUGUUGGGUUAAGUCCCGCAACGAGCGCAACCCUUAUCCUUUGUUGCCAGCGGUUCGGCCGGGAACUCAAAGGAGACUGCCAGUGAUAAACUGGAGGAAGGUGGGGAUGACGUCAAGUCAUCAUGGCCCUUACGACCAGGGCUACACACGUGCUACAAUGGCAUAUACAAAGAGAAGCGACCUCGCGAGAGCAAGCGGACCUCAUAAAGUAUGUCGUAGUCCGGAUUGGAGUCUGCAACUCGACUCCAUGAAGUCGGAAUCGCUAGUAAUCGUAGAUCAGAAUGCUACGGUGAAUACGUUCCCGGGCCUUGUACACACCGCCCGUCACACCAUGGGAGUGGGUUGCAAAAGAAGUAGGUAGCUUAACCUUCGGGAGGGCGCUUACCACUUUGUGAUUCAUGACUGGGGUG